AUGCGUUUCGCUGUGAGGUCUAUGCCCUGCUCGUGCUGACGCCCGUCGCCUGGUGGCUGGGUAAAAACGGUGUCGAGCGCGCCUUGCUGAUCGGCAGCGGUCUAUUGGUCGUGGUCGUGGAGCUGCUCAAUUCGGCGAUCGAAACCGCCGUCGAUCGGAUCGGUGAGGACUACAAUGAGCUCUCGGGCCGCGCCAAGGAUAUGGGUUCCGCAGCGGUUUUAUGUUCCAUUAUAAUGGCGGGGCUGGUAUGGCUUCUGGUCUUGGCUUAGGGAUAAACGAAUUUCCAGCCCUGAUUAUUCACGCCGUACUCGACCAAGGAGCAAGCCUCUCCGGUCGCGCGCGAUGGGUCUAUACCUUGAGGAGGCCU
rnacentral:misc_RNA from 1 species